GUCGAACGGCAGCGCGGGGCAACCUGGCGGCGAGUGGCGAACGGGUGAGUAAUAUAUCGGAACAUACCCUAGAGUGGGGGAUAACGUAGCGAAAGUUACGCUAAUACCGCAUACGAUCUAAGGAUGAAAGCGGGGGAUCGCAAGACCUCGUGCUCAUGGAGUGGCCGAUAUCUGAUUAGCUAGUUGGUAGGGUAAAAGCCUACCAAGGCGACGAUCAGUAGCUGGUUUGAGAGAACGACCAGCCACACUGGAACUGAGACACGGUCCAGACUCCUACGGGAGGCAGCAGUGGGGAAUUUUGGACAAUGGGGGCAACCCUGAUCCAGCAAUGCCGCGUGAGUGAAGAAGGCCUUCGGGUUGUAAAGCUCUUUUGUCAGGGAAGAAACGGUGAGUUCUAAUACAACUUGCUAAUGACGGUACCUGAAGGAUAAGCACCGGCUAACUACGUGCCAGCAGCCGCGGUAAUACGUAGGGUGCAAGCGUUAAUCGGAAUUACUGGGCGUAAAGCGUGCGCAGGCGGUUUUAUAAGUCUGAUGUGAAAUCCCCGGGCUCAACCUGGGAACUGCAUUGGAGACUGUAAGGCUAGAGUGUGUCAGAGGGGGGUAGAAUUCCACGUGUAGCAGUGAAAUGCGUAGAUAUGUGGAGGAAUACCGAUGGCGAA
rnacentral:rRNA from 1 species